rnacentral:rRNA from 1 species
GUAAUAGCUCACUGGUCGAGUCGGCCUGCGCGGAAGAUGUAACGGGGCUAAACCAUGCACCGAAGCUGCGGCAGCGACACUGUGUGUUGUUGGGUAGGGGAGCGUUCUGUAAGCCUGUGAAGGUGUGUCGUGAGGCAUGCUGGAGGUAUCAGAAGUGCGAAUGCUGACAUAAGUAACGAUAAAGCGGGUGAAAAGCCCGCUCGCCGGAAGACCA